rnacentral:rRNA from 1 species
AUGAACGCUGCCAGAAUGCUUAACACAUGCAAGUCAACUUGAACUUCGGUUUGGGUGGCGGACGGGUGAGUAACGCGUAAAGAACUUGCCUCACAGUUAGGGACAACAUUUGGAAACGAAUGCUAAUACCUGAUAUUAUGAUUUUAGGGCAUCCUAGAAUUAUGAAAGCUAUAUGCGCUGUGAGAGAGCUUUGCGUCCCAUUAGCUAGUUGGAGAGGUAACGGCUCACCAAGGCGAUGAUGGGUAGCCGGCCUGAGAGGGUGAACGGCCACAAGGGGACUGAGACACGGCCCUUACUCCUACGGGAGGCAGCAGUGGGGAAUAUUGGACAAUGGACCAAGAGUCUGAUCCAGCAAUUCUGUGUGCACGAUGAAGUUUUUCGGAAUGUAAAGUGCUUUCAGUUGGGAAGAAAAAAAUGACGAUACCAACAGAAGAAGUGACGGCUAAAUACGUG